rnacentral:rRNA from 1 species
CCUACGUGGAGCAGCAGUGGGGAAUAUUGCACAAUGGGGGAAACCCUGAUGCAGCGACGCCGCGUGAGUGAAGAAGUAAUUCGUUACGUAAAGCUCUAUCAGCAGGGAAGAAAAUGACGGUACCUGAGUAAGAGGCCCCGGCUAACUACGUGCCAGCAGCCGCGGUAAUACUUAGGGGGCAAGCGUUAUCCGGAUUUACUGGGUGUAAAGGGAGCGUAGACGGUGCGACAAGUCUGGAGUGAAAUGCCGCAGCUUAACCCCGGAACUGCUUUGGAAACUGUGCGGCUGGAGUGCAGGAGGGGUAAGAGGAAUUCCUAGUGUAACGGUGAAAUGCGUAGAUAUUAGGAGGAACACCGGUGGCGAAGGCGGCUUACUGGACUGUAACUGACGUUGAGGCUCGAAAGCGUGGGGAGCAAACAGGAUUAGAUACCCUGGUAGUC